GGGCCAUUAGCUCAGUUGGUAGAGCACCUGACUCUUAAUCAGGGCGUCCCCGGUUCGAAUCCGUGAUGGCCCACCA
rnacentral:tRNA from 1 species